GAGUUUGAUCAUGGCUCAGAGCGAACGCUGGCGGCAGGCCUAACACAUGCAAGUCGAGCGGGCGUAGCAAUACGUCAGCGGCAGACGGGAGAGUAACACGUGGGAACGUACCCUUCGGUUCGGAAUAACCCAGGGAAACUUGGACUAAUACCGGAUACGCCCUUACGGGGAAAGAUUUAUUGCCGAGGGAUCGGCCCGCGUCGGAUUAGCUAGUUGGUGGGGUAAUGGCUCACCAAGGCAACGAUCCGUAGCUGGGUCUAGAGGAUGAUCAGCCUCACUGGGACUGAGACACGGCCCAGACUCCUACGGGNAGCAGCAGUGGGGGAAUAUUGGACAAUGGGGGAAAACCCUGAUUCAGCAUGCCGCGGUGGAUGAAUAAAGGCCUAAGGGUUGUAAAGUCUUUUCGACGGGGAAAAAAAUGACGGUACCCGGUAAAAAACCCCCGGUUAAUUUCUGGCAACCACCCGGGUAAAGGGGAAAUUCCGGGCCCCUAAUUUAAUUCCCCCCUAAAGGAGGCGGAAUAAAAUUCCGGGGGGGCCGGUUUUUAAAAGGCGGGGGGGGGGAAAAACCCGGGGGGUCCCACAUAUUAUAACCUUUGGGGAAAAACCCCCCUUUUUCCGGGGGGGGGAAAAAAAAAAAAAAGCGCCCCCCCUUUUCGCCUUUCUCAAAAAUGGGGCGCCCAUAAUUUUGGGGGGGGGUUGGGGGGUCGCCCCCCCAAAAAAAAAACGCCCCCCUCCCCUCCUUUGGGGGGGAGAAACAAAAUAUUUUUUUAACCCCCGGGGGGGCGGGAGGG
rnacentral:rRNA from 1 species